GUUCUCAGUACAGACAUGUUUACAGUCCGUCUAGAAACAAUGAUCCUGCUACCUUAAAUGUGUAGAUUAACAUGAUUGUCUAAUUUCGUUGCUUAUAUGUACUACAUAAAUGUUAUUUUUAAGACAACGUUGAAUUAACAGACAAUAUCCAAGAUGUACGGAAACAAUAUGGGGCAAAAAAAAUAAACAAAUGUAGCUUUGUAAUUAAUAUUGGGCUUGUGCAUCGAUAAAUGUGUUCCCUUGCAAUGCAAACUGAAUAUCAUUGCCAUAGCAUGUAAAAUAGAAAGCUAUUUGUAGGUUCGAAUAAACGAACCAGACCCUCCUAAUUUUCGACUUAUCUUUGUAAUGCAAAUCCCAAAAUUAUGUAGUUAUAUCGUAGAUACGUCGCCAGUUUUAAUCGCUUGCUAACUAGUUAGCUAUAUCCAGGAUUUGUUUAUAUUAUUGAAUAUCAUGGACAGGGAGUCUUACUAUAACUGCUGCAGCCUUGUCAAAAUACCAAGGCAAUCCUAUGAAAAAUUCUGGUCUUCGCACUUUGUGGAUUACAUAGACAAGGAGUUGAGCUAUUCCAAAUUCUUUAAAAAGGUACUUACUUCCCAACCACCCAUUCAUGUUCUCGAGGAAAUUCACUAGACUGGACAUGCAGAAAACAGUGGAUCACUGAAGAGGGGAAACCAACCUUCCAGAAACUGCUGCAGCAAUUUGGUAAAUAAAUGUUGUUACAGAUCUAUUACAAUGCCCAGUAACUUUGUAUUCAUAAUGUUGGUGUGACAUGAACGAGUUUGAUUAGCCUAGGCAUGGGCUGUCCUGAUCUGUGAUUUGACAGCCAUAUCUCAUCGUCUGUGGAAUUAUCUGAUAUAAUUUGUGCUGCAGUUAUGAUGAACAAAUAACCCAUUUCUAAGUUGUUUUCACAAAAGGUUUUUCUAUUGUUUUUUACCCUUGCAGAUUAGACUCUGGUUCCUGUUGCAAACAGUAAUGUGAAAGAAUACAAUGCAAACCCCAAACAAAUUAUUUAUUCACUACUGGAAAGAAUACAUCCAGAAUGGACACACGUCACCAAAAGGAUGUCUAUCUGAACGAUUCUAAACUAUCAAAAUAAAGAAAGUCGCACACUCCAUGUAUAAUCUCCCAGCAAUUUAAUGGGUAUUUACCAACGUUUCGGCAUCACCCUGAGGAAGGCACAGUGAUGCCAAAACAUUGGUAAAUACCCAUUAAAUUGCUGGGCGAUUAUACAUGGAGUGUGCGACUUUAUUUUGAUAGCUUAUUCGCCGUUAGUCAGCACCUCCACACAAACUAUUAUUCUGGGUGGGCGCCAGCGCAUGUUUUUUAAAAUCUUUUAUCUGAAGUAUUGACACAUGUCAAGGUAUUGAUUUCACUGAUAUGUUGCCUCAGUCCAAAAGAGCAGCAGUCCAAAAGAUUUGAAAGUGUUUAUUUGUAAUGAAUAGUACUUGUACUCUUUGCGUUCUUACGAAACUAUGCAGUAUUUUGUUUUUUUAUGUAUUAUUUCUUACACUGUUACCACAGGAAAUCUUAAGUCUUAUUACAUACAGCCGGGAGGAACUAUUGGAUAUAAGAGCAACGCCAACUUACCAGGAACACGACAGGUCUGUUCAACACUGGUCCAACCAAUCUGAUUCCAUGCUUCAAGAUUGCUUCGAUCACAUAUGUUCCGGAUGGCAUCGAACAACAUUGAUCUAUACGCUGAUUCGCAGGGAUUUUCCUUAACGCGUUUAUACCACCCCAGUCUUCUUUUCUUCUGACUGGUUCAAUAAGUAUUGGGAUACCUUGGAGGUGGACGACUACCGCUACGUCUACAUGGAACCCAAAGACUCAUGGUAUAACAAAACAUAUUUCAUUAUAGACCCUAAUAUGGAUAUCCUAUUAUCUCUCCCUUAACAUCAUGUGCUUGUUUCUCUCAUCACUACAGGACGCCAUUCCACACUGAUGCGUUUCGCUCCUACAGCUUGUCAGUGAAUAUCUGUGGCAGUAAAAAAUGUAUCCUAUAUCCCAAGGAGCCAAGGGGCCAAGGAGAGUUUCUACAAGACAGCCAUGGCAACCUUGCUUAUGACAUCACUACCCCCGAGCUUCAAGACAAUGGGCAGUUCCCACACUCUGUUGAGGCCUGCCAACCACUAGAGAUCAUUCAGGAAGCGGGUCAUCAUGAAGUCUUGCUCUGGGAUUGACUACAGGGAGUUUGCCUCUUUCCAAAAGAUCAUCGCUGACAACCGCAUGUCUUUCUUGAGCUCUUGAAACACCUCAAAUUACCCUCUGCAUCUUUCAAAUACCCUGACCACGUUAGGACCUCACCACGCUGCCUGUGACCUGCAGAGGAUGGCUCACAUUCUAGAAUGCAUGCUCUGCAAUUACUUUAACUGGAACAUUCAACUCUGAGCUCACACAACACCCACCCGUAGAUCGCACUCCAGCAGGUAUAUCUCACUGGUCACCCCAAAGCCUAUUCUUCCUUUGGCCGCCUUUCCUUCCAGUUCUCUGCUGCCAAUGAUUGGAACAAACUGCAAAAA